AGGUGCGAUCAUACCAGCACUAAUGUACCAUAUUCCAUUGGAACUUCAAAGUUAAGUGUCCUUGGGUGAGAAUGGUACUAAGAUGGGCUUUGUCAUAGGACUUCCACAAGCACAUG
rnacentral:rRNA from 1 species